UAGCAACUUAGAACUUUUUAAAAGAGGCAAAGGCAGAGGAGAACAAAGGAAGGAGGAAGUAACUGGUGGAAUGCUGAGAAAGGUAAAAACACCUUCAAAUAAGGAAGAGGAACAGGCUAUGACCUAAUGCUUGCUUGAACCAGUAUAAGCAUGCCAGGGCAAAUAUUUAGGCUAAAUUUUGGAAGCUAAGAACAUAAACAUUUCAUUGUGCGGCAUCAUCAUGCAUGCUCUGUAAGAGGAGAGUAAGAUCAAUACUCCUACUUGUAAAUGAAAGAGAAGAAAACAAAAACAAGCAAAUUCCUUCUAAGGUGUGAGGAACAUGAGUAAACAGAGAAAUCACCUAAGGAGAAAACAGCAAGCAGAUUUGAAACUGUGGCCACCAACGACCCGAGGGAGCACAAAACCCAGCCCGCUUGCCAGGGAGGCUGGCAGAGCCUACACCCACUCUGGUGCCCUGGUCGGUUACAUUCUGCUUUUUGAAGCAGCGUUCAAAAUCAGUUGUGGAUCAAGUCAAGGUGAACUCUGAAACAAUACUUUAAAUACCCCUGGAUGAUUUUGAAGGUAUUUGUAAGUGAGAAUAAUUCAUUCUGUUUUAAAGCAUAGAAUUAAGUUUCCCCAAAUGCAACAUGUGAGUUAAAAGAAUCACACCCUUUUUUAAAAAAAAAAAAAC